rnacentral:rRNA from 1 species
UUCCGGUUGAUCCUGCCGGAGGCUACCGCUAUUGGAGUUCGAUUAAGCCAUGCGAGUCGCGAGAAAUUAGAUUCUCGGCGUACCGCUCAGUAACACGUGGGUAACCUGCCCUAUGCUGGAUAAUAACCUCGGGAAACUGAGAAUAAUGAUCCAUAGUUCACUACGCCUGGAACGGUGAGUGGAUGAAAGCUCCGGCGGCAUAGGAUGGGCCUGCGGCGUAUCAGGUUGUAGGGGGUGUAACGUACCCUCUAGCCCUCUACGCGUACGGGUGUUGGGAGACAUAGCCCGGAGAUGGAUUCUGAGACACGAAUCCAGACCCUACGGGGUGCAGCAGGCGCGAAAACUUGGCAAUGCGAGAAAUCGUGACCAGGGAACUCCAAGUGCAUGGGGUAAGACCCAUGCUUUUCUUGACUCUAAAUAGGUCUUGGAAUAAGGGGUGGGUAAGGACGGUGCCAGCCGCCGCGGUAAUACCGGCGCCUCAAGUGGUAGUCGCUUUUAUUGGGCCUAAAACGUCCGUAGCCGGUCUGAUACAUUCGUGGGUAAAUCAACCAGCUUAACUGGUUGAAUUCUGCGAGGACGGUCAGACUUGGGACCGGGAGAGGUGUGGGGUACGCUCAGGGUAGGGGUAAAAUCCUGUCAUCCUGAGCGGACCACCUGUUGCGAAGGCGCCACACUAGAACGGAUCCGACGGUCAGGGACGAAGCCUAGGGGCACGAACCGGAUUAGAUACCCGGGUAGUCCUAGGUGUAAACGCUGUGGACUUGAUGUUGGGGGUGCUCCGAGCACUCUCAGUGUCGAAGCGAAGGCGAUAAGUCCACUGCCUGGGAAGUACGGUCGCAAGGCUGAAACUUAAAGGAAUUGGCGGGGGAGCACCACAACCUGAGGAUUGUGCGGUUUAAUUGGAGUCAACGCCGGA